rnacentral:rRNA from 1 species
CCUACGGGAGGCAGCAGUGAGGAAUAUUGGUCAAUGGACGAGAGUCUGAACCAGCCAAGUAGCGUGAAGGAUGACUGCCCUAUGGGUUGUAAACUUCUUUUAUAUGGGAAUAAAAUGUUCCACGUGUGGGAUUUUGUAUGUACCAUAUGAAUAAGGAUCGGCUAACUCCGUGCCAGCAGCCGCGGUAAUACGGAGGAUCCGAGCGUUAUCCGGAUUUAUUGGGGUUAAAGGGAGCGUAGGUGGAUUGUUAAGUCAGUUGUGAAAGUUUGCGGCUCAACCGUAAAAUUGCAGUUGAAACUGGCAGUCUUGAGUACAGUAGAGGUGGGCGGAAUUCGUGGUGUAGCGGUGAAAUGCUUAGAUAUCACGAAGAACUCCGAUUGCGAAGGCAGUUCACUGGACUGCAACUGACACUGAGGCUCGAAAGUGUGGGUAUCAAACAGGAUGAGAUACCCUUGUAGUC